rnacentral:tRNA from 2 species
CGGGAUGUGGCUUAGUUGGCAAAGCGCUCGGUUCGGGACCGAGAGAUCGGCGGUUCGAAUCCGCCCAUCCCGACCA